UUAGCAUGGAAUAAUGAAAUAGGACGUGUGGUUCUAUUUUGUUGGUUUCUAGGACCGCCGUAAUGAUUAAUAGGGACAGUCGGGGGCAUCAGUAUUCAGUUGUCAGAGGUGAAAUUCUUGGAUCUACUGAAGACUAACUACUGCGAAAGCAUUUGCCAAGGAUGUUUUCAUUGAUAAGGAACGAAAGUUAGGGGAUCGAAGACGAUCAGAUACCGUCGUAGUCUUAACUAUAAACUAUGCCGACUAGGGAUCGGACGAUGUUAUUAUUUGACGCGUUCGGCACCUUUCGAGAAAUCAAAGUGCUUGGGCUCCAGGGGGAGUAUGGUCGCAAGGCUGAAACUUAAAGAAAUUGACGGAAGGGCACCACCAGGGGUGGAACCUGCGGCUUAAUUUGACUCAGCACGGGGAAACUCACCAGGUCCAGACACAGUGAGGAUUGACAGAUUGAGAGCUCUUUCUUGAUUCUGUGGGUGGUGGUGCAUGGCCGUUCUUAGUUGGUGGAGUGAUUUGUCUGCUUAAUUGCGAUAACGAACGAGACCUUAACCUGCUAAAUAGCCCGUACUGCUUUGGCAGUUCGCCGGCUUCUUAGAGGGACUAUCGGCUCAAGCCGAUGGAAGUUUGAGGCAAUAACAGGUCUGUGAUGCCCUUAGAUGUCCUGGGCCGCACGCGCGUUACACUGACAGAGCCAGCGAGUACCUCCUUGUCCGAAAGGUCCGGGUAAUCUUGUUAAACUCUGUCG
rnacentral:rRNA from 1 species